UACGUAGGGUGCGAGCGUUGUCCGGAAUUAUUGGGCGUAAAGAGCUCGUAGGCGGUCUGUCGCGUCGGAUGUGAAAGCCCGGGGCUUAACUCCGGGUCUGCAUUCGAUACGGGCAGACUAGAGUGUGGUAGGGGAGUCUGGAAUUCCUGGUGUAGCGGUGAAAUGCGCAGAUAUCAGGAGGAACACCGGUGGCGAAGGCGGGACUCUGGGCCGAUACUGACGCUGAGGAGCGAAAGCGUGGGGAGCGAACAGG
rnacentral:rRNA from 1 species